rnacentral:rRNA from 1 species
CACCUCUGGUGUUCCAGUUGUUCUGUCAAGAGCAUUGCUGGGUAGCUAAGUGCGGCACGGAUAAGCGCUGAAAGCAUCUAAGCGCCAAGCCAUUCCAGAGAUUAAUUUUCCCUGAAGGAUCGUGGAAGACCACCACGUUGAUAGGCUGAGGGUAUAAGUGCAGUAAUGUAUUCAGCUCAUCAGUACUAAUCAUCCGUUCGACUUAAUUCC